rnacentral:rRNA from 1 species
GGGGGAUAUUGCGCAAUGGGGGCAACCCUGACGCAGCAACGCCGCGUGAAGGAUGAAGGUUUUCGGAUUGUAAACUUCUUUUAUUAAGGACGAAAAUUGACGGUACUUAAUGAAUAAGCUCCGGCUAACUACGUGCCAGCAGCCGCGGUAAUACGUAGGGAGCAAGCGUUGUCCGGAUUUACUGGGUGUAAAGGGUGCGUAGGCGGCUUUGCAAGUCAGAUGUGAAAUCUAUGGGCUCAACCCAUAAACUGCAUUUGAAACUGUAGAGCUUGAGUGAAGUAGAGGCAGGCGGAAUUCCCCGUGUAGCGGUGAAAUGCGUAGAGAUGGGGAGGAACACCAGUGGCGAAGGCGGCCUGCUGGGCUUUAACUGACGCUGAGGCACGAAAGCGUGGGUAGCAAACAGGAUUAGAUACCCUGGUAGUCCACACCGUAAACGAUGAUUACUAGGUGUUGGAGGAUUGACCCCUUCAGUGCCGCAGUUAACACAAUAAGUAAUCCACCUGGGGAGUACGACCGCAAGGUUGAAACUCAAAGGAAUUGACGGGGGCCCGCACAAGCAGUGGAGUAUGUGGUUUAAUUCGACGCAACGCGAAGAACCUUACCAAGUCUUGACAUCCUGCGACGAUGCUGGAAACAGUAUUUUCCUUCGGGACGCAGAGACAGGUGGUGCAUGGUUGUCGUCAGCUCGUGUCGUGAGAUGUUGGGUUAAGUCCCGCAACGAGCGCAACCCUUACUGUCAGUUACUACGCAAGAGGACUCUGGCAGGACUGCCGUUGACAAAACGGAGGAAGGUGGGGAUGACGUCAAAUCAUCAUGCCCUUUAUGACUUGGGCUACACACGUACUACAAUGGCGUUAAACAAAGAGAAGCAAGACCGCGAGGUGGAGCAAAACUCAGAAACAACGUCCCAGUUCGGACUGCAGGCUGCAACUCGCCUGCACGAAGUCGGAAUUGCUAGUAAUCGUGGAUCAGCAUGCCACGGUGAAUACGUUCCCG